rnacentral:misc_RNA from 1 species
AACGCACAUUGCGCCCCUUGGUAUUCCGGGGGGCAUGCCUGUUCGAGCGUCAUUUCAACCCUCAAGCUCAGCUUGGUCUUAGGCUCUGCCCGUUCAACGGCUUGCCUUAAAAGCAGUGGCGGUGCCGUCGAGCUCUACGCGUAGUAAUUCUACCCUCGCGUGUGAGCCCUCGACGUGCGCUGGCCAACAACCCCUCACUUCUUAUAGUUGACCUCGAAUCAGGUAGGGAUACCCGCUGAACUUAA